CCUACGGGUGGCUGCAGUGGGGAAUAUUGCGCAUGGGCGAAAGCCUGACGCAGCAACGCCGCGUGCGGGACGACGGCCUUCGGGUUGUAAACCGCUUUCAGCAGGGACGAAGUGAAAAUGACGGUACCUGCAGAAGAAGCACCGGCCAACUACGUGCCAGCAGCCGCGGUGAUACGUAGGGCGCGAGCGUUGUCCGGAAUUAUUGGGCGUAAAGAGCUUGUAGGCGGUCUGUCACGUCGUAAGUGAAAACUCAGGGCUCAACCCUGAGCCUGCUUGCGAUACGGGCAGACUAGAGGAAGGUAGGGGAGAACGGAAUUCUUGGUGGAGCGGUGGAAUGCGCAGAUAUCAGGAAGAACACCGGUGGCGAAGGCGGUUCUCUGGACCUUUCCUGACGCUGAGAAGCGAAAGCGUGGGGAGCAAACAGGAUUAGAUACCCCUGUAGUC
rnacentral:rRNA from 1 species